rnacentral:rRNA from 1 species
UAAGACGAACCGAGCGAACGUUAUUCGGAAUCACUGGGCUUGAAGGGCGCGUAGGCGGGCGGCAAAGUCCGGGGUGAAAGCCUCCAGCUCAACUGGAGAAGUGCCUCGGAUACUGGCCGCCUCGAGGGAGGUAGGGGCGUGCGGAACUUCCGGUGGAGCGGUGAAAUGCGUAGAUAUCGGAAGGAACACCGGUGGCGAAAGCGGCGCGCUGGACCUCUUCUGACGCUGAGGCGCGAAAGCCAGGGGAGCAAACGGGAUUAGAUACCCCGGUAGUCCUGGCCCUAAACGAUGGGCACUAGGUAGUGGACUUACAUGGGUUCACUGCCGAAGCAAAAGUGUUAAGUGCCCCGCCUGGGGAGUAUGGUCGCAAGGCUG